rnacentral:tRNA from 1 species
GGUGGCUCAUUGGUAGAGCGCUUGCCUUUCACGCCUGAGGCCCUGGGUUCGAUUCCUCAGCACCA